AUAAUUAGUAACUCCGAAUCUCUGGAAUCUCAGGAGAACCUUGCUGGAUCCCACCUCUCCAGCUCAUGACUCCUGGUCCUAGUCCCUGAUAUAGCAGAAAACAAGCUUGCUGUCUCUACUCCACACAUGACGUUCCUCCGACAUCUAAAAAUGAUGGCCACUGAUGGUCACCUCUUAACCUUCUCUUUACCAAACUAGAUAUACCCAGCUCUCUAUAUAAGAGACCCAAUAUUUGACUGCAACAGGACAGCAAAGCCAGCCCCUCAGCCAUAUCUUAUGGAAACAAACGAGAAACAAUGAAGUGAAAAGAAAAAUCCCUCUGAGGCGUCUUCCGCACAUGCAGAAUAAUGAACUUUCAAUCCACUUUCAAUGCACUUUGAAGCUGUGCAGAAUAGCAAAAUCCACUUGCAAACAGUUGUGAAAGUGGAUUGAAAGUGCAUAUUAUACUGCAUGGGCGAAAGGGGCCCAUGAGAGUCUUCAGUGAGCUGGCUAAGACCAGAGUCUCUUUCAACUUCUGUGGUUCCCUGAAUGGCCCUCCCUUGCUGUCUGUCAUAAUCAGUGGUGGGAUUCUAAUAAUUUAACAACCAGUUCCGCUGGUGGGAUUCAAAUAAUUUAACAACUGGUUGCUUACAAGUUCUUUACAAGUUACAAGUUACAUUUUAACAACCGGUUCUGCUGAAGUGGUGCGAACCUGUUGAAUCCCACCAUUGGUCAUAAUAUAAUCUGAGCUGUAAAGUAACCUGCAGGCACUGAGUCGCCUCCAGACGAAAGAGGUAGUUUCCAACAAUUAUUAUUAUUUAUUAAUUUUCGUAUACUAUCCAACCCCUGAAGCCUCCAAAGGGCUACAGGAAGCUGCACUGGGUAGAGGUCCGCGGGAAAGUUGAUUUCAGCAAGCAUCGCACUUCUUGUGUUGCACAGGAGCAUCCGUUCCCAGUUUUAUGCCAUCUUUCCAGAAUCUCUGCAAGCAAGGAUAGCUUUGUUGAAAGUGCCAUGUCUUUUGGCUGGGAUAGCAGUUCUGAUUUGAAUGGCCUAUUCUCAAUGGGGAAAAAAAGACUGACAACAGUAGAAUUUGAGUGGGAAUAGCAGAGUGGGAAUAGUCGGAAUAGCAGAGCAACGGAAGGACUCCUUCGUGAAAGGGACGCACAAAAUGAUAAAAGGUUAAAGUGAGGAAACAGGCCGGCAGGGAGAAAAACAGGAUGUAGCAUAAUGGAGGAAAGCCAAAGGAGGCAAAGAAAGAACUUUAAAUAUUCUAUGCUUUAUAUUUAUAAUCUCUUAUCAGUGACUGGAUUCCUCCAGUCUCUUUAUUAAAAUUCAUUGCUUUUUAAACUCACUGUUCAGUGUCUGGUCGUUCAGUCGAUGUUUAUUGAAGGAAAACAGCCAGCGGCCUGCGUUUAGUGGCAAGCGUCAAAUUCGGAGAUAGCUUCUUUGAUAAAAUAAAUCCACACUUUCUAGGUAGAAGAAAUCUGGGCUGGAAUAACUCUGCCUAGAAUAGUACGGCAAAUUGCAUAGACUGCGGCUCCAAUUCCGAGAACCCUUUCACGGGUGUAAGUCCUACUGAAUAAAGUGGGACUUACUUCUGGGCAGGGCUUCUUCAGCCCUAGCCCUAGCCCUAACCCUAACCCUAACCCGUAUCCAGGCCCAACAGUGCCUCAUCCUAAAAAGAGGUACACCCACAGAACUCCAUGGAAAUCAGCGGGCUUAGAAGGGACUAACUCUGCUAAGGAGGAGGUUGUUGGGAGUUUGUUAUGUCACGUCAGCUUAACAGGAUAGACUGAGGAAAUAAUGUUCUUGUGUAACAAGGAUUUAAUGCACAAUUUCAACAUGUCCAAUCGGGUUUCAUGAUAAGAAUGAGUGCAAACGAUUGUGGGGGUUUUGUGAUCAUGGACAGAUCUAGGUAGGCUUGCCAACUCCAGGAUGGAAAAUUCCUGGAGAUUUUUGUGGGGAUGGAUCCUGUGGAGGCCAGAGUUUGGGAAUGGGAGGGCCAUAGUUUGAAGACCCCUGCUAUGGAGUGUCACCCUCCAAAGCAGCCAUUUUGUCCUGGGGAAAUGAUCUCAGUAGACCAGGUGUCGGUUAUAAUCCCAGGAGAUCUUCAGACCCCACCUGAAGUUGGCAUCCUUCACAGUAGGCUGACAAGGACAGACGUGUUCAUGAUUCUGAUCCUUUUUUAUUUCUAUUUUUCUACUCUUUUCAAAUCAUCUUUGAUUACCUUUUUCGGCUUUUUUUAAAAAAAAUUCAUAAAAUUAAAAUGCAUCAUGACAGAUAAAGUAAUAUGUGAAACUUGCUUACCUGUUCUAACACCUGAACUUACAACUUUUUAAAUCCCAUUUGGCACUUGCAUAACUUGACUUCAUUUCCUUUCCCUUCCUCUCCGUAUUCUCCUUCCGAUUUCUGUUUAAAGCCAUUCACAGUACAAUCCUAAACAGAGUACACCCUUCUAGCCCCUUUAACUUCAUUGGGUUUAGAAAGGUGUAACCAGUGGCGGGAUUCAAAUAAUUUAACAACCGGUUCCGGUGGUGGGAUUCAAAUAAUUUAAUAACUGGUUGUUUACAAGCGCCGUUUUAACAACCGGUUCUGCCGAAGCGGCGUGAACCGGCUGAAUCCCACCACUGGGUGUAACUCACUUUCAGAUUAUAGUUUAAGUAUGCAUAGAAGUGAACUGUUGGUCAUUUUUUCUCUGACUGCAAGUAAAACAACUCGGGCUUUGGUUUUGUGGGGAGCUUUUUGGUGGCAAAUUCUUAUGUACUGUUGCAGUUCUAAUCUGUGGAUGGUGGAUUCGUUUUAGACCAAAACGUUUAAACAGGGUUCUGAAUUUUUUUUCUGUUAACAUCUGGCUCGCAUGCCCAGCAGCUGGUGAGAUUUGUAUGUAUAUGAAAGAUUACUCCAUAGCCCACUUUGUAAGAUGUAUGGACUAAUGCGAAUCUUCUGUCCAAAGGUGUGUUUGAGAAUGUAUAAUUAAAUGUCUGGAUUUUAAAAAGAAAAGACAACUGUAUUUGAAAUUGAAAAUGGGAACGACGUACCCAGAUGCUUGGGGGAGAAGCUAUUUCUUCUUUUUUUUUGCAUUUCUUAUGUAAUCUGUUUCUAUUCAUGAGUGUAACAAAUGCUUUGUAUUUGUGUUAAUCACAAUAAAAGGACAUAAAAUGAA